UACAGAGGGUGCAAGCGUUGUCCGGAAUUAUUGGGCGUAAAGAGCUCGUAGGCGGUUUGUCGCGUCUGCCGUGAAAGCUUGGGGCUUAACCCCAAGUCUGCGGUGGAUACGGGCAGACUAGAGGCAGGUAGGGGAGAACGGAAUUCCCGGUGUAGCGGUGAAAUGCGCAGAUAUCGGGAGGAACACCGGUGGCGAAGGCGGGUCUCUGGGCAGUAACUGACGCUGAGGAGCGAAAGCGUGGGGAGCGAACAGG
rnacentral:rRNA from 1 species